AUGCAGUGAUAGGGACACUUCCUUAAUAAUUCCUUGUAUCUUUCCUAUGCUUCAUAUAAUGACUCUUCAUCUUGCUGAAUAAAAGAUGUAAUUUUUUCUCUUAUUUU